rnacentral:lncRNA from 1 species
AUAAAUCUAUAUAAAAACCUACGGUUUCUUAAAAAGAAACCUAAAAAUCGGUUCGGUGCGGUACGGUUCGGUCGGUUUAGUCGGUUUUCGAAUAUCCAUUGACACCACUAUGUGGAGACAUGCCAAUCUGAGUAGGAGAGACUCUAAUAUCAUGUUAAGAAAAUGGACCUUAGACCCAACUCAACCACAAACGCUAGCUCAUGAGGUAAAGAUUGUCCAUAAUCAUGUAAGGGGACAGCGACUCAUUCCCUCAACCAACGUGGAAUAAUUUAACAACAUUGACGGAGAGGAAUGAUAUAUUGACGGUGUAGAGUCGGAUUCUGUACAUAUCAGAAAUUACCUCUUCUAAUUUCCUUUUGGUGCACCUGAGGUUGCCAGUCUAUAUGAAAAAUUAGGUGCACUUUGAACCAUACUUUCAUAUACUGUCUACUUUUUGGCAUAUCCAUACAGGUUUAUUCCCUUCUUCAAUAAGAUUCUUGUUACCUGAUAAGGUGAUGGACCUCAUUUUACAAAUUCUUACUCCAGGAGGCCAACAACAACAACAACAACGACCCAGUAUAAUCCCACAAGUGGGGUCUGGGGAGGGUAAUAUGUACGCAGACCUUACCAGGAGGCCAAAAAUAACAAAUUGAAAAGUUAGUAACUGAUUCUGUACAUAUCAGAAAUUACCUCUUCUAAUUUCCUUUUGGUGCACCUGAGGUUGCCAGUCUAUAUGAAAAAUUAGGUGCAUUUUGAACCAUACUUUCAUAUACUGUCUACUUUUUGGCAUAUCCAUACAGGUUUAUUCCCUUCUUCAAUAAGAUUCUUGUUACCUGAUAAGGUGAUGGACCUCAUUUUAUAAAUUCUUACUCCAGGAGGCCAAAAAUAACAAAUUGAAAAGUUAGUAACUGCCAUGAGACAGUUACUCAUGUAUUGGGUAGUUUUUUUCCUGGAGAAAGGUGGCAGGGAGUUUUUGCAGAUAAGUAUUCAAACAAAAAACGAAUCCUUGGGAGAGUUCUAGCCUCUCAAAUGUCUAGAAGUGUCAUGUCUGUAUAAUUUCAAUGUUAUGUACUGUGUCUCUGUCACUUGUAUCCAUUUCAGUAAUUAUUCUAUUCUGUCUGAAUGUCAUUUCGUGUUUUAUGCUGUAAUUACGGAGUUCUCAGUGUUGGCGUGGUUAUUUCAGACUUGCUGAAGUAAAUUCUGUAUUUUCAGUGUUAACAGUUUUUGUUCCUGUUAUAUCCUAUUUUCAGAAAAGUCUAUCAUAAGGAAAAACUAUCUUAUUGAUUGAUUGUCUAUACACAUGAUUUAAGUCACAAGAGCAUAAAAGAACAAGUGCUCUCACAAACAACGAACUUGCAGAAGAUGAAGGUAGCAGAGAUGAGAAUGUUGAGAUGGAUGUGUGGGCACACCAGGUCAGAUAGGAUUAGAAAUGAGGUUAUUCGCGAUAAGGUGGGUGUCGACCCUUAUUGAGGACAAGAUGCGGGAAGCUCGGCUUAGGUGGUUUAGUCAUGUGAGGAGGAGGAACACAGACGCCCCGGUGAGGUGUGAGAGGUUGACAGUGGAGGGCCUACAAAAAGGUAAUGGUAGGCCAAAGAAGAGGUGGGGAAAGGUAAUUAGGCAAGACAUGACGCAACUUCAGCUGACCGAGGAUAUGACCCUUGAUAGGAAGGUAUGGAGGUUGAGGAUUAGGGUAAUAGAGUAGGUAGUCUAGAGUAUUCAUAACAGUAGUAUUGGCACGCAGUCUCUGUUGGUAGUAGGUUUUUAUGACUAACCGUUGUUUUCUUUCAUUGUUUAUCACCUUACUGUCUUGUUGUUUUUAUUCUGCUUUUAUAUGGCUUUUUGGUACUGUCCCUUUUUGUCUAUAUUUUCAUUAAUGUGGUGCUUAUGCUUUCCUGAGCCGAAGGUCUAUUGGAAACAACCUUUCUAUGCUCACAAGGUAGGGGUAAGGUCUGCGAACACACUACCCUCCCCAGAUCUCACUGUGUGGGAUAAUACUAGGUAUUUUGUUGUAUUAGGUGACAUAAAAGGGGUUCUUUGUGUUU